rnacentral:rRNA from 1 species
GGUAGUCCACGCUGUAAACAAUGCCGGCUCGGUAUGUGGGGGUUUUACCGCCCCUGCGUGCCUCAGCUUACGCGGUAAGCCGGCCGCCUGGGGACUACGAGCGCAAGCUUAAAACUCAAAGGAAUUGACGGGGGCCCGCACAAGCAGCGGAGCGUGUGGUUUAAUUCGACGCAACGCGAAGAACCUUACCCAGGCUUGACAUGCAGCUGCAAGCCGCUGAAAGGCGGUCGCCUUCGAGGGUGCUGCACAGGUGCUGCAUGGUUGUCGUCAGCUCGUGUCGUGAGAUGUUGGGUUAAG